GCUGUCCUAGACCUGUCGCAUUACAGGCAUAGCGCAGCUACUCAUCUCUGCUGGGACUUCAGGGCGAAGGGCGAGGGGCUGUUUCUACACUCAGGGUUCAGAAGCCAGCGAGCACUAAGAAUGGUUUACAGUCUGACAUCU